GCCAGGCAUGGUGGCACAUGCCUGUAAUCCCAGCAACUUGGGAGGCUGAGGCAGGAGGAUCACAAGACCAAGACCAGCCUCAGCAACUUAGCAAGGCCUAUGGCAACGCAGUGAGGCCCGAAGCAACUUAGCAAGACCCUGUCUCAA
rnacentral:sRNA from 1 species